rnacentral:rRNA from 1 species
AUGUCCAACUUCUGGUGGGGAUUUGAAAAUAGAAAGAAGAAGCUUCACUGGAUAUCAUGGAAGUGGUUGUCUGCACCAAAACAUCUUGGUGGUAUGGGCUUUCGCGAUAUGGCGAUCUUUAACCAAGCUAUGCUCGGGAAACAAUGCUGGAGAUUGACUGAACCUAAUUCAUUGUGUGGCCGAGUGUUGAAGGGACCCUACUUUCCUGAUGGGGAUUUCUGGAGUGCGCAAUGCCCAAGAUCAUCUUCUUAUACAUGGCGCAGUAUCAUGCAUGGCAAGAAAUUGCUAUAG